ACUGCAAAGGUGAGGCCGGCUCCUGACCCGAGGGGGGCCCCCACGCCCGCUCCGGCCCCUCGGGUCAGCCCUCCCCCCCCUUCCCCUCCCCUCCCCCGCCCGCGCGUGUCUCGGCGAUGGGCUGUGUGCAUGUGUGAGCCCGCACCCCCGCAGGACCGUCCCCUUUUGUUCCGCCCUGACCUCUACCUUGCACUGACCCGGCCGGGGUGCGGGAGCGUCUGCAGACACAGCCCAGAGCAGGGAGGGGCUCAAGGUGCACGGCUCGAGGUGGUUCCUCGGUAACUCUGCAUCGCCUCUGGUCCCUCCCUCCCUCCCCCUCUCCCUCCCUCUCUCCUCUCAAGAUCUCCCUUCCUGCUAAGUCUGCACUGCUGCGGGAGGGCUGGGGGAAGGGCAGGUGCGGAGGGGGGUGCGCGGUGUCUUCUUUCUCUUCGCCUGCCCCCCACCCCCAAGUGCGGACGCAUCGGGAGCUCUGGCCUCCCCCACCCCUGCAUUCGCGAUUGGCUCCGGGAGAAGGUGGAUGGUGCUGGUGCGGCUACAGCAUCUCCCUGGGAGCCACGCGGGCGCAUCGUACCGGGAGCCGCGACCCUGCGCCCGCCGCCGCCGCUGCCGCUGCCUCCAGCCCGGCCGGAGGGGCUCCGCGGCACCCAGCAACGCAUGAGGCCCUUCUUCAGCAUCCCACCGCUCAGCCGCGGGCCUCACCCUGGCCAUGGCGAGACCUCUGCCCGUGCGCUCCUGAUGCCCCUGGGCCCAGGCUGGGGGUGGUCGGCCCUCCGAUGGCGGGCACCUGUCCCGGAGGCCACACUGCUCCCUGUCAGACUCUCCGUGGUUCCGACUCCCGGAUUCGGGGUGGCCGGAGAAGUUGGUGGGGAAGAGGGGCUUCUUCUCCAUCACAGGCAAAUUCUGAAAUGCAGUGAAAAACAGUAUCGCUAUAAUUAAGUGUUCCAAAGCGCUUAGCUUGCCACUUGCUAAGUUUACUUAACCCUCUUUAACGGGUUCAUUAGAAGCCGGUGAGCACCGGGAAAUUCAUCAACAGGAAGGCGGCCCCUGCGUUUGCCUGUAAAUUGGUAUUGAUCAGUCUGGGUGGAGGCCGGGUGGAGGCCGGGCGUGGGCCACAGGGAGCCAGGUGUGCCUGGGCCGCGUCGCUGGCCGCUGGCCGGGUGGCAGUGCUUGGUGGAGCCGCCCGCUGGUGCGAGCAUCUCUUCAGGUGGCCACGGCAGAGGUGGCAACAUGUCAGGAGUGCAGAGGGGAGGGAGAGGGCGAAGCAGGGAGGGAGAGAGCCGGAGGGGGAGGAGGUGGCCGUAGAGGGGAAGAAGGAGCCGGCUCUAGUCCCCCGCCCAGCCAGGCCCAAGAGCAGAAGGGGCUGGUGGAGGCAAGGACCACCUCCCAGCCGCUCCCAGCCACCCUCUGGAGAUGCAGCGUCCACCUGUCACGCGUGUCUUCAAAGACAGAGGCAUGACUGAGCCCUGCCCGCGAGGGCUCUGGUUCCUGGGAGGCAGAACCACCAGGGACCUGCCCAGGAAGCUGCCAGCUGCCCAGCUGUAGCUGUGCAUUGAUCGCGCCGUCAGCCAGGCUGGAGGCCACGGCGGCCACGCGGAGGCCACGGCGGCGGCCACAUGGAGGCCCAGCGCGGUCUGGUCAGCUCCAAGUAAGCGAAGCCCCUGCCCCACCCGGGCCCCUGACCGGCUGACCCCACCUGAGGCCGGGACCCAGAGGCCCGCCUGCCCUCCUCCGAGUGUGGGCUCCUCCGAGGUGCCCUCCCUGGGGCCGCAGAGCUCUGGCAGCCCGCGCCCCCCAGCCCUCGCAGUGGACUGUGAAAACACACAUUCGCUUCCACGCCAGAGUGUGGCUGGGAAGUGCAUCCUGGAGCCCGUGCGAGCCGGGGUCGGGGCUGCAGCCUGCAUCCUGCCUGCUCCCAACAAGGCAGACCCGCUCCCCAGGCUUUGUUCCACUUUCUCCUUGAAGGCGACCUUGGCCCCAGAAGGCCCUUCCCAGUGCCAGGCGUCCAUGCUAUGCUGAUGACCUAAGCAGUGGGUCUGGUGGCCCCUGCGGGCGCCCAGCACAUGGCCUGCCAAGUCCCUGCACCUGCACACCCAGAAGUCGCUUCAGCCACCUCAGGCCCCGGGACCCCCAGCUGGUGGCCCUGCCCGUGGGGCCCAGGACAGAAGGAGAGGCAGAGCCCGGGCCUCUCUCCUGGGCACCUGCCCAGAGAGCCCCCUGUGGGAAUCCUGCCCACGCUGAGGCCCCGGGGGAGGCCUGCCUCCUGCCGCUGCCCGUCCCUCACCCACCCUCCUGCCUCAUCCCUGCCUGAGGCAGCUCCCGGGCCAGUGUGAAAUGCUGCACCUCGCUGGGGACUUGGCACACCCCUCGUCCUCAGGAGAGGAAAACGCAGGUCCUCACCACAGCCUGCCGCCCGAGAAGCUGAUCAAGCAGCUUUUCGAUUGAUGAGCUGCGUUCACAUCCAUGUCCCACAGCUGCUGGAGGUGUUGGUGCCCCCAGGUCCUGGCCUCGGCUCUCCCCCCCAUUGAAAGGGUGACCCAACAUGAGACUGGCCCCCAUGUCCACCUGCACGUGGACCACCAUGGCCAUCAGCUGCGGACCCCCUGGAGCGGGAGUGCUGCUGGUUCCUGCCCCCACCCCCCACUGACCACACAGACGCCGCAGGGCAGAUGACAGGACCCCAGGCCGGGCCUGACGGCGCCGGGCGGGCAGCAGGUGACCCUUACAGGGGCCGGCAGAGGGCCGGGCGGCCCCAGGGAGCCGCCACCGGCGGGACAUGAACAAGUGGGCUUCGGGGGGCUCCGGAGGCUGUGAACCCCAGAACCUGAGUCCCAUAUAAUUUUUAGUCAUCAUGAAAUAAGAUUCUUCCUUUGGGUUUUCUCCCCCUCGAUCAUUAAAAGAUAAAAAGCCA